CCGGGUGAGUAACACGUAUCCAACCUGCCGUCUACUCUUGGACAGCCUUCUGAAAGGAAGAUUAAUACAAGAUGGCAUCAUGAGUUCACAUGUUCACAUGAUUAAAGGUAUUCCGGUAGACGAUGGGGAUGCGUUCCAUUAGGUUGUUGGUGAGGUAACGGCUCACCAAGUCUUCGAUGGAUAGGGGUUCUGAGAGGAAGGUCCCCCACAUUGGAACUGAGACACGGUCCAA
rnacentral:rRNA from 1 species